rnacentral:pre_miRNA from 1 species
AAUGCAAUUGCUGGGUUACAUGGUAAGACUAUGUUUAGUUUUAUAAAAAAUUGACAAACUAUCUUCCAAGAGAUUGUACUAGUGUGAAUUCCCACUGGCAAU